AUGAACGCUGGCGGCGUGCCUAAUAGAUGCAAGUCGAGCGAACAGACGAGGAGCUUGCUCCUCUGACGUUAGCGGCGGACGGGUGAGUAACACGUGGAUAACCUACCUAUAAGACUGGGAUAACUUCGGGAAACCGGAGCUAAUACCGGAUAAUAUAUUGAACCGCAUGGUUCAAUAGUGAAAGACGGUUUUGCUGUCACUUAUAGAUGGAUCCGCGCCGCAUUAGCUAGUUGGUAAGGUAACGGCUUACCAAGGCAACGAUGCGUAGCCGACCUGAGAGGGUGAUCGGCCACACUGGAACUGAGACACGGUCCAGACUCCUACGGGAGGCAGCAGUAGGGAAUCUUCCGCAAUGGGCGAAAGCUUGACGGAGCAACGCCGCGUGAGUGAUGAAGGUCUUCGGAUCGUAAAACUCUGUUAUUAGGGAAGAACAAAUGUGUAAGUAACUAUGCACGUCUUGACGGUACCUAAUCAGAAAGCCACGGCUAACUACGUG
rnacentral:rRNA from 1 species